GCCACCGUAGCUCAGUCGGUAGAGCAGCUGAUUCGUAAUCAGCAGGUCGUCCGUUCAAGUCGGAUCGGUGGCU
rnacentral:tRNA from 1 species